UUUUUUGCCACCCACAGGCUUGGACUGUUAUACCAGGUGUCUUAUAACAUCACGAAAAGGAUCCCUAUGAGAAGGCAGGCUGUGUCGUGAGCCCAAAAAGCGGGCAUUACGCUUUGUGUGGACAGGGUACACACACACUCAACCCUGUGUGUGGUGUUGUCCUAUUGCCGCUCCCCGGUGAGACCACCGCGGCCGCAAAAAGGACCACCAGCGCCACGGUUGGCCCGAGGCUGCUGCAGACGCAGCUCCCUACGCCGUCCCCUGGCCUCCUGCCCCACCGGCUCAGCUCGCACUCCCAAGGUGCCGGGGGUGGCCCGCUCAUGGUCUAACUCCACUGUGCAGCCACGGCGUUCCGGGAAGCGCCAGUGACAUUUGGGGGGUAAUUGUGUGUUCACUGUUCAUGUUCUGCCUGCACUUUCUCUGUGGAGACAAAUGUGUGCCCUAAGAGCAUGUUCCCUGGCCCGCUGCUGCCUCAGCUGGGUCAGCGGCCGCCGUUAAACACAUUUCCCCCACAAUGUACGGAUUGGUUUUUUUCACAUUCUUGUCAUCCCAGCACACAGGAAGUUCCUGCGCUUCUCUUUCCAGGGCGUCCAGUAUCAACCGCCUGCCGUUCGGUUACUCUCUGGCCCCAUGCACCUUCUCCAAGUGCAUCGAGACAGCCUUGGAGCCGCUGCAGUGGGCGAGCAUCAUAGUCCUGUUUUACCUGGACGACCUGCUGCUGCUGGCAUGGUCCUGGGACGAGGCAUUGGUGCAAACGGCCAAGCUCGUUGCACACCUGUCUCGCCUGGGUUUUUCACGGUGAACUGGGAAAAAUCGCUCCUUUUCCUUCCCAUGCACUCACCUACCUGGGCGUGGUGCUGGAUUCCUCCCUCCUGAGAGAGCGGCUCUCCCUGGAGCUCUGACACAGCUGCUCCGCCAUGUGGCUCCGCCAAAGACAAAGAUGUUUCACCUGGACAUGAAGGACCACUUGAUGUCACAGCUUUUGAUCAGCCAUCUGCAACAGAGUCCCAGUCCACUGGGUCACACCACAAGUUGGAAAUUACAACUACAGUUGAUUCAGUAACCUCUGGAUCUGUUGGGUCAGAUGUACG